rnacentral:rRNA from 1 species
CAGCCGCCGCGGGAAUACGAAGGGGGCUAGCGUUGCUCGGAAUGACUGGGCGUAAAGGGCGCGUAGGCGGAUUGCGCAGUCAGAUGUGAAAUUCCUGGGCUUAACCUGGGGGCUGCAUUUGAGACGCGUAGUCUAGAGUGUGAAAGAGGGUCGUGGAAUUCCCAGUGUAGAGGUGAAAUUCGUAGAUAUUGGGAAGAACACCGGUGGCGAAGGCGGCGACCUGGUUCAUGACUGACGCUGAGGCGCGAAAGCGUGGGGAGCAAACAGGAUUAGAUACCCGGGUAGUCCCUGUCUCUUAUAC